GACGAACCGUCCAAACGUUAUUCGGAAUUACUGGGCUUAAAGGGUGCGUAGGCGGCGCGGAAAGUUGGGUGUGAAAUCCCUCGGCUCAACCGAGGAACGGCGUCCAAAACUUCCGUGCUCGAGGAAGAUAGAGGUGAGCGGAACUUAGGGUGGAGCGGUGAAAUGCGUUGAUAUCCUAAGGAACACCGGUGGCGAAAGCGGCUCACUAGAUCUUUUCUGACGCUGAGGCACGAAAGCUAGGGUAGCGAACGGG
rnacentral:rRNA from 1 species